AGGAUAGUUUAUUCUAAAAGAACAAAAAACAGGCCUAGCAUAAAGAAAGGAGCCACCGUCGGUUUUAAAAGUAAGCAUCUAAACAUUGACUCCAAAGCCUGUGCUCUUCCCGUGUGUCCGUCCUUCCUUCCUUCACUCAUUCAUUCGUGACACAGUGUGUUCCAGGAUGUGUUUAGGUCUGGGGAACACAGUGCUGAACAUGACAGUUGUGUGAACAUGUCUGCAGUUUCCUGAGCCCAGCAAGCAACGUCAUCCUUGCUUUUUCAGCUCUGCUUUCUCCCGUGUGGUCUGCCUGGGGAAUACCUACCCAAUGUUUAUAAUGAGCUCACAUGUAAUCAUCUUUCAAAAGUCUUUCUGGACUCUCUAGACCAGGGUCUAGUUUUUCUUCGUGACAUGCUCUAUCCCAAAUCUACAAUUACUAGAAUAUUUUACUAUUUUGUUUAUAUCUAAGUUACUUGAGAACAAGAACUAUAUCUAGUCCCUCUCUGUAUUGCUAAUACCUGGCACAGUAUGGACAGAUGUAGGUGUUUGGUAAAUGUUUGCUGGCUGGCUGGAUGUCUGACCAGUUGGCACUGUGAUUUUCUUCUGCUUACAUCAUUACAUAAGCCAUCAGAAAUGCAAACAUUUCAUCACAUGCUGGUUGAGUGGGAGAAGCACCUUUGUUACUUGUCAUUGUGAGCCAUGCGUGGGUCCCUUUUCCUAGCGAGGCUCAAAUAGCCUCCUAAAGUCUUCACUACCUUCCUAAGGCUGAGGAUAAAACGAACCUUCAUUCUGCUAAGGAGACACACUGUUAGCUUUGGGACAAUUAGCAAGACUAUAGGUCCCAGCCAAACUGACAUUUUUUCAGCCUGGACCCAGUGGUCCAGCCCUUCCUCCACACAGGACUAGGGCUAGGCGGAAGCUCAGAAGGAAGAGGCGUUGGAAUUGCAAUAGCUUCAUCUUCCCAUUCCAGUUCCACAUUUUUGUGUUUCCCUGAUAUGAGCUCUAAACAUAACAGCUUAGUCCAGUGCAGGCCAUCCCACUGCCUGUGGGGCUAGCUUCUGCUUAUCUUGGUGCAUUCCAAGCUAUCAGUGUGCUUCUAAACUCUGAGACUGUGUAUUGAGAAAUACUGAAGAGAUGAAAAACAUAAUUGUCCUGGCCCUCCAUCUCAUCCAGUGUCUGAGGUUGCAGAUUUUUCUUGAAAUUUCUGGGUUACUUUUCAAUUAGGAUCAGAUAACAGGGAAUCAACCAGAAAGUCAAAUGCCUUCACAUUAGCAACAAACUGAAUUAUCUAGGAAUUAACCUAACAAGGAAUGCAUGAAACUUUAAGAAAAACAAAAUGUAACAAAUAAAGAGAUGAACAUUAUAUGUUGGUGAAACAACUAUGCAAUAGUUAGAACCACAACAUAGAGGUACUACAGCACUAUGGACAGACCUUUAAAAACAAUGUUGAUUGAAAAAUCUAGAAAAGACUAAGGUUUAUAAUCUAAUAUUAUUAAUUAAAACUACAAACAACCCUGGCAGGGUAGCUCAGUUGGUUAGAGCAUCAUCCCAAUAAACCAAGGUCGUGGGUUUGAUCCCCAUUCAAGGCACAUACAAGAAUCAACCAGUAAAUGCAUAAUUAAAUGGAACAACAAAUCAAUCUCUCUCUCUCUCUCUCUCUCUCUCUCUCUCUCUCUCUCUCUCUCUC